GAUGAACGCUAGCGGCAGGCUUAAUACAUGCAAGUCGAGGGGUAGCAAGAUUGUAGCAAUACAAUUGUUGACGACCGGCAAACGGGUGCGGAACACGUACACAACCUUCCUGCAAGUGGGGAAUAGCCCAGAGAAAUUUGGAUUAAUACCCCGUAACAUAGCGAUGUGGCAUCACAUUGCUAUUAUAGCUUCGGCGCUUGUUGAUGGGUGUGCGGCUGAUUAGAUAGUUGGCGGGGUAACGGCCCACCAAGUCUACGAUCAGUAGCUGAUGUGAGAGGAUGAUCAGCCACACGGGCACUGAGACACGGGCCCGACUCCUACGGGAGGCAGCAGUAAGGAAUAUUGGACAAUGGACGCAAGUCUGAUCCAGCCAUGCCGCGUGAAGGAUUAAGGUCCUCUGGAUUGUAAACUUCUUUUAUAAGGGACGAAAAAAGGUCUUUCUAGAUCGUCUGACGGUACCUUAUGAAUAAGCACCGGCUAACUCCGUGCCAGCAGCCGCGGUAAAAC
rnacentral:rRNA from 1 species